rnacentral:rRNA from 1 species
UACAGAGGCCCCAAGCGUUAGGCGGAAUCACUGGGCUUAAAGCGUGUGUAGGCGGGUUGGUAAGUACUUUGUGAAAUCCCACGGCUCAACUGUGGAAUGUCUUAGUAUACUGCCGAUCUUGAGUCAUUUAGGGGCAGCCGGAACAGAUGGUGGAGCGGUGAAAUGCGUAGAUAUCAUCUGGAACGCCAAUGGUGCAGACAGGCUGCUGGGAAUGAACUGACGCUGAGGCACGAAAGCCAGGGGAGCGAACGGG